GGGGGGGGGUUCUCCCUUGUGACAGGACAUAUAUGGAAAUUUGAAUGGCGCACAUUCACCUCUGAUUCACCAGCCAACACCAGCGCCCCCCAUUAGGAGCUGGACCGCGCCGAGGCAGCGUCACGGCUUAAAAGGCAGACGAGCUGAGAAGUGGGAGAUGGAUGGAGCCUAUAGGAGCAGCUGUUCCUCGCGUCGCCUGCCGGUGAAAAGCAGCUCCCUGCCGGCUGCAGGAGCAGCAGCAGCCGGCAGGGAGCUUCCCGCGUGUCCCGCUCGGCUCGGCUCGGCUCGGCAACCAAGCACGACCGGGGAAUUACUUACACCCCGAGAAGUGAAGUUUGCAGGAGGUGUUGAGGAGAGGAGCGCUGGUAAAUCCUGGCCAGGGAGAGACGGCUGUGCAAGGCUUCAUAUCACAUCACAGAUCCAGCAAUAACAUUCAUGAAUAUUCCUCCUUUUCACCAUUCCUUGUCGAUCCCUCACAAGGUCACGGUUGGCCAUCUGUGCUGCGUCCAGGCUUUGAAGCCCGCCAGCGAAAUUGUUACAGCAGCAAAUAGAAUUGUUUUUCUUUCAACACAGAAAUGCAGAUUUUUAAUGUCAAGGCCAGUUUGAUAUAUUUGCAGCAGACAAGUCUAAAGGACAGCGGAGCAUAAAAGGAUUGUUGAGAUUACGAGUUUGACGUUGGAAUCUUUAAAAUGUUUUAUGGUGCUUCAAAAUAGCGCUCUGUAGACUCCUCGUCUUUUUCUGGCAUGCUGUGAGAGAUGUGAAAGAAGUCUGUAUUUCUGAAGGCUAUUGAGUUCUAAAAAACCUUACAAAAAUUAAAUAAAUGGC
ensembl:lncRNA